GACGAACGCUGGCGGCGUGCCUAAUACAUGCAAGUCGAGCGAACAGAUGAGGAGCUUGCUCCUCUGACGUUAGCGGCGGACGGGUGAGUAACACGUGGAUAACCUACCUAUAAGACUGGGAUAACUACGGGAAACCGGAGCUAAUACCGGAUAAUAUAUUGAACCGCAUGGUUCAAUAGUGAAAGACGGUUUUGCUGUCACUUAUAGAUGGAUCCGCGCCGCAUUAGCUAGUUGGUAAGGUAACGGCUUACCAAGGCAACGAUGCGUAGCCGACCUGAGAGGGUGAUCGGCCACACUGGAACUGAGACACGGUCCAGACUCCUACGGUAGGCAGCAGUAGGGAAUCUUCCGCAAUGGGCGAAAGCCUGACGGAGCAACGCCGCGUGAGUGAUGAAGGUCUUCGGAUCGUAAAACUCUGUUAUUAGGGAAGAACAAAUGUGUAAGUAACUAUGCACGUCUUGACGGUACCUAAUCAGAAAGCCACGGCUAACUACGUG
rnacentral:rRNA from 1 species